rnacentral:rRNA from 1 species
UACGAAGGGGGCUAGCGUUGCUCGGAAUCACUGGGCGUAAAGCGCACGUAGGCGGCUUUCUAAGUCAGGGGUGAAAUCCUGGAGCUCAACUCCAGAACUGCCUUUGAUACUGGGGAGCUCGAGUCCGGAAGAGGUGAGUGGAACUCCGAGUGUAGAGGUGAAAUUCGUAGAUAUCCGGAGGAACACCGGUGGCGAAGGCGGCUUCCUGGACCGACACUGACGCUGAGGCGCGAAAGCUAGGGGAGCAAACGGG